CAACAACUGUCAUAUUCCUGACUCGGUACAGGCAUUAUAAAAUGUAGAAAAUAGUGGAUUGCACCCGGUAUAUAGCGCUAAACCUUUCAAUUGUAAUACAGUCGCAUUAUAUUGAUAACGAUGUGGAAAUAAAACAGACAUAAUAGGUAAAACUGUCAAAAUAGGGGUAUAACAGUCAUCGCCGUGUCACAAUCGCAAUAAGAAC
rnacentral:lncRNA from 1 species